rnacentral:lncRNA from 1 species
CCUUCAUUAAGGGUUAAAAGUGUGCUCUUAUCACAAGGCUGCAGGUUUGGUGAGUGCUAGAACAUACUCUUGGCACGGUCUUGGCCAGAAAAACCUUAGUUUGGGUUGUGUGAUUUCAGAAGAUCAGUUUGUACUCAUCUCCCUGGAGUUCUCUAAUUUACGUUUUCGUCUAGAAUCUGACAUGUCCUUUCCAAUGACCUACAAUGUGAUUUCUUCCUGAUCCUUAUUGUUCUUUUAGGAAGGCACUACAGAAAUGCUGGAACUGAACUCUGAUAAGAGGAAAAAUGAGGUGUCUAGUCCCAGAAGAACCUUGCUGCUGUUGCUCUGACCCGAGCGCGUCAUUGGUGAAGGAAAAGUUGGAUCAGUUGUCCAGGACAACAUUGGAGAAAUUGGUUAUUCUACCAAGGCUUUGGCUGGAAUGGAUGCUUUCCUUUAAGGAAUCAAACUUGACUCAUAAAGUCAAUAAAAGCUGUUUGAGGAGCUGGCCUCAUACCUUGCCUACAGAGUCCCUGUACAGGGUUUCUGACCUGUGGUAAGUAAAGAAUGUCACUUUCUAACAGGUCCAGGAACCCCAAAUUAUCUUUGGACUCCAAGAAAAGAAGAAUUUACUCAACUCAUAGGUAUUUGAGGGUACAAACCCAUGGCAGGGUUGGGCUCUAAAAAAGUCUUAUCUAAGAUUCCUUCUAUGCAAUAGAGUUCCAUCAAAGCCAAUUUAAAAAGAACUUACGUAAAAAACAAUUAUUCUUGCUGCACUUUAUACACAUAAUUAGGCCAAGUAUAAUAAAGCAAAUCAGUCUUACCGUGAUUUGUCUUUAAUAAAAAUGGGAAACUGGAGAGAGAAGUUAUGUUUCAGAAACUAUGGUACGCUUGUAUUAAAUUUUUCUCAUCAGUUGUUUUUAAGUUUGUUUCUGCAAUUUAGGCUAACCCUGCUUAUUCCUGUGAACCAACUAGUGAUCUCUGACUGCUGUUCAGAAAAAACAAGAGGGAUA